GUAGUUUUUAAGACUUUUUUUUCUGACAGUAUUAUGUAAUUUUUUAGUGCGGGUAGAUGGGAGUGUCGCUUGUAUGUUACCGUACAGCUGACAUGUAUUUUUGUCUAUUCUUUAUUAUCUCAGUAGUUUCAUGCUAUCUAUGUAUCAUAACCAACCUAUUGCCUAUGAGAAACAUGUAAGAUAAUGUAUUUACAGCCAUUGUUACAAGUUUAUAAUGUAUUUUUCUAUCUUGUUUUAUAUGUAUGUUAUAUAACAUUCAAAAAGAAUUUUUUUCUUGAUUGAGAAAAGGAUACAAAAUGCAAAAUCCACAAUUUUGAUAACUGAAAAUUGCCAAUUGUUUUGCAGUACUUUAUUAUAUUGGGUGUCUUGUCUUUCUUGGGCUUUUAGUUAGCUAAUGAAUGAAUACAUUAGACACUUUCGGGUUUUAGUUGGGAUUUUACAUAGCUUGCAUUUUAAUUCUUUGGUUCUUUGCUGUUUCUAUUAACCCAUAGCAUUAUUUUAAUAAAUGUUAUAAUACCAACCUACUAACUCUGGACUAUGUCUGUUUAUUAACCUUUACGUGUUUAAUUAAAAUAAACAAAUAAAGACAAAGGAAUGUAAAGUCUUGAAUUCCUGGACUAACCCUGAAGAACGUGACCACAGAUAACAUAGCGUGACUUGUUUUUAUGUUGUUUGUCAGCUGACAGUUCCGCACACUACUGUUAAAAUGGCUUUGGUUAUCCUGGGCUUUUACUUCGGGGUGGGGGGGGUAGGUAGGUGCCAGUAGAGACGGGAACAAAGUAGUGUUGGCUUGAGGCGUUCUUCUAGUCUCGCCACUUGCCUUUCAGCCUCUGCAUUACUAAUUCCACCAUUUCUUAUUUUUCCUUCUCCAAAAUAAUCACUGUCUGCUCACAGCAUAAAGAGUAAAGAGAUUCGUCAUAAUGAUUGAUAUACCCGAGAAACCAGUUUGAUUCUUUGUUGAACCAUUUUUUGAAAUUUCUAUAAGUAGAUAAUUUUAUGGUCACAUAAAGCAAAGAAUCUGAUGAUGUCUUACCUUUAUUCAGAUCUGUGUUUUAAUUGGACAUUUUUCCUUUAUAGAGAAGUCUUGAACUGUUUUAGCCAGCUGCUCCUGUUAGAGGGGCUAAACCCAGGUAAAGCCAAAGGCAGAGUGGCUCUGUGUCUCAGGACAGCCCAGAGUAAGCGUUCACAACAACCACAAACCCACCUCUCCUCGUGGAACCCUCAGCAAGAGAUCAAACAGCGUCACUUAGCUUUAUGUCUCACCCUGUUACAAAAUACAGUCAGAAUACAUUAAUAUAAGAAGUUUAAGGGAGAAGAAUAAUUAAUAGCAUUUGAAAAGUUAUAUCAUGGUUUGCAUGCAGGUCAAUUUAAGAAGAUCUAUUAAAUAUCUUCAUGCUUUUCUUGGCUGCAGCCUAGGUAAAUUGACCUCUACUUACCAAUUCUUUAGUUUAACUCUUGAGGUGCAUUUUUAUUUCACAGAUACUGGUAUUUCCUUUUCUGUGAAAUAGUUCUCCUGGAUAAUAAAAAUUCUCAGGAUGAAUUUUUGCAUUUGUAAAUAAUGCUUAUUUUUGUAAAUUACAUUUUAUUUAUUAUAAAGUUCUAAAAUUUGGGGCUAAAAUCAGUCACAUGUUACAGAAGACAUAACACCAAUAUGCUAUUAACCAAUCAAAGUACUACCAUAGUAUAUAUACAUACAUGAAAUAUGUAGAAUAGCGAGAGCAUCUGAUUUAAUCAUAAUUGAGAUGGUUCUUUGGAUCAAACAAAUAUAUUGUUUCUCCGGGGUGGGGGGGGGGGCAAUGCAUUAUUAUUAGGUAGAGCUUUACUAUGCUACUCUCUGUAAAAGUUCACAUUGCCAUACAGCUAAUAUAUAUUCUGUAAAAAUCUGAAGAUGUCAUUCAAGCUGCUAAUAUACAAGUCAUCAUGGCACCAUAUCACUGAAAUUGAUGAAGAAUUUCUAUACAAUUCCACAUUUUCUGAAGCCUGUGAAUGCAGUCUCAUCUCAUUUUCAUUUAAGAGUACUACUUUUACGUAUAAUCAUAUUGCCACCUUUUAUGUUGUAAAAGUCCAUUUUUAAAAGACAAAAAUAACAUUACAAAACCCACUUUUAUUACAGGCUGUAAUAGUAUAAAACAUGGAAUCACCAAAUUGUUAGAAUGAUAAAAUGCCAGAGGCAGUUUAUUGUUUUAUGCUACUAGUACUUGACAAAGCCAUUAAAAGUUAAGCUUUCAGUCGAGAAGUUGGUGAAAUUAAUGUACUUAGUAGUCAAGCAUUUUUUUCUUAGGCAAAAUGUCAGGAAAAAUGUAGCAUGAAAGUCGAUAUUCACAUUACCCCUACCCCUCUGUAGGGCAGGGUCCACCUAGAAGGGUAGUUGAAGCACCCUGUCCGUAAUGCCAAGGUGUGCAUAUGUUUACACAAGAGAGGAGGUGGUUACGUUUCUAAACUACUGGAUAAAUAAUGAUCUAAAUUUUCUAGUACACCAAAAGCAGACAACAGGUUUAAAUUGCUCAUUACCAAAUCAAUCUUUUCCUUACCAGCUAAGUCUAACACGUUUAUAAAUGACAGUCUAAGGCUUCUUCAGUUUGGGAGGAGGGGUCUGUUUGCCUGUUUGGAAUAAGCUGUCUGUCAUUCCUUGAUAACAAUUAGCAACUGUAGUAUUUCCAGCAAGUGAUUUUUAGUAGAAAGAAAUGUAUUGCUAAAUUAGAAUCCAUUAUUUAAUAGCAAAAGUUACCCAGAAAACUUUUUGGACUCAAACUUUCUAAGUACAUAAGGUAAUUUUUAAACAUCAUCACAAGUUUCUUACUACCUUUAUUUAAAAUGGAAAAAUAAUUCCUAUUAUAGACAAUUUUACCUUUAGAAAUAUUCAUUUGGUACACACAUGUAAUUUUAUCUGUGGUUUCUUUUAACAUAAUAUUAUCUAAGUUGAACUGCCUUUGCUAUGAAGAGAUGUAACAGAAUUAUAUGCCUACCUGGUACUCAAUGCUGAAUCAAACUGGUUCACCUAAGCGUAGUACUCUCCUUUCUGUGUCUCUGCUGCACUAAUUGCAGGGGGUGGGAGAGAAGGAGGAAGAAUGGAUUCUCAGGAGAAGUAGUUGGUAGGUGCAGCAGAUAGCAACACAACGUGGAUUUCUCAUUGCUUACAGUUUUGCCGUCCCUUCGUGGCAAAAGACACCACACUGUGGGAAAAAGCACAGCUCCCAUGGUAAACAAUUUAUACCUUUUUUUAAAAAUGCUAUUAUCGAGAAAUUUUGAUUACCAAAUACAUCUUUUGUGGUUUAUAUUGUAGUGGUGUGUAUAAAACACUUAGAAUUUUAUUUGUGGAAAUUGUACAUAGAAAAGUUGAAAUAGGUCUUCCCAAAUCCUAUGUGAAUGGAGAACCACGUUAAGACUGUACAUGACGUGCAAUAAACCAACUGGAAAAAGUG
ensembl:lncRNA